ensembl:lncRNA
AGGCUAGUUGAGAACACCUUUAUUUAACCAGGUAGGCUAGUUGAGAACACCUUUAUUUAACCAGGUAAGCUAGUUGAGGAGACCUUUAUUUAACCAGGUAGGCCAGUUGAGAACACCUUUAUUUAACCAGGUAAGCUAGUUGAGGAGACCUUUAUUUAACCAGGUAGGCCAGUUGAGAACACCUUUAUUUAACCAGGUAAGCUAGUUGAGGAGACCUUUAUUUAACCAGGUAGGCCAGUUGAGAACACCUUUAUUUAACCAGGUAGGCCAGUUGAGAACACCUUUAUUUAACCAGGUAGGCCAGUUGAGAACACCUUUAUUUAACCAGG